AUGUUUUUUCAUUUUGGAGAAGGUUGGGGAGAGAGAUGAUGGUAUGAAAGGUAGAAAGCAUCUUUUGCUCUUUAUUGGUUAUACUGAACAAUUUAAAUUGUUUAGAAAACUUGGGGCAGACUAUUGAAUUAAAACAAGGUAAUUGUAAAUUUUAAUUUUAUACUGAAUACAUGUGUAUUAUAUUGAGCUUCUACUGUGUAAACACCAGUGUACUUGGUUAAUAGAAUAGGCUAGUUAGAAGAUCACAUUUCUGCUUCGUUUUAGUUUAAGUCUUUAAGUGGUGUAACUGCUGUAAAGAUUAAAAUAAGAGGGAUCUGGAGAAGGGGCUUUAAGUACACUCCAUGAUCUUACUAAAAAUAAAAGAUGGUUAAAUAAGUGAAAGCAUGUUUCAAGUUAAAUAGGGUGACUAACGUGAGCCACCCCAGUUUUUCUCUUGUCAUCAAUAUUUCAGUCCCUUCUCCCUUUCUUCCCUUUUUCAGAGCGCCCCAACCAUUAUUUUCAAAGUUAAUGAUCCAAGCAUGCUCUCAAAAUCUUUUAACUUUAUCUUUCUUCUCCAAGACCUUUGUUACCCUUGUUUGUAUCCUUUCCUUUUUACUCAAUCUCAGUCUAUUUCAGGUUCAUAUUGGCCUCCUAUCCAAACUCUAACUUGGUUUAUUCUGUACAUUCUUGCCAGAUUUAUUUUCAUAGAAGAUAGUUCAUAAAAGAUAGUUCUAAUGUAUUUUUCCUGUACAAAAGCCUUCAUUGGUUUUAUUCCUACAGAAGAAAACAUAGAGUGUCAUAGUAAGUAAAGGCACUUCUGAUCUUGGUGUCUCUCAGAGUUCCUCUUUAUAUAUGCAUUCCAGAAAACUGAACUCAUGGUUUCAUUUGUGUCUUCUUUUCUCCACCUAGAGUGCAUCACAUUGUCUCUCUACCCUUAAAAAUUUAGUUCACACGUUACUCAAGAGAAAGGAUGAUUAACUUAAACUUCCUCCAAUCCCUAGUUAUUUGGAAUUCCUAUACUCUAGAGCUUUAUUUGUACCUCCUCACUUUCUGCUUGCAUUAGUUGUUGAUGUCUCUUACCUCUUUUAGAUCCAAGUUCAGCACUUCAUCUGAAACUCAGCUAGACCAGCUGUAUUUAGCUUUAUGGCUAGCAUAUUUUCUUUAUCCCAUUGCCUUGAUAUUCUAUCUUUAUUUUAUUGAUCUUAUAGUGAGACAUUAGUUUCAUGUUAGAAUCCAACCUCUGAUACAACAUUAUUACCAUGAUUUAGCCCAACCUUUUGGGCAUAACUUUAAGCUUGUGCCAUUGUUAGGCAAAUAACACAGUAGACCCUUUACUAUUUUAAUUGUUCCCCUAAGUUUUCCUCCAUGGAGACUCAAAUUUCUUGACUAUAACUAUUGGCCAUAUAGGGGUAACUUUGAUUCUAUGUGGAAAAUUUCUGUACUAGCAGACUUUGAUGUAAAGAGUAGGUAAAAUAAAAUCUGCUCUGUGACAUGCCAUCCUUUCUCUUAGUUUUAGACUUCUUGGUAAUCAAACCACAGCUUCACUGGAAAAAUAUUUUCAGCAGUGUCUAUGAAAGCAAAAAGAUAAUCAUAUCUCAAAAAUAAGAUUGCAAAAAUACAAAAUUAAUCUCUUAAAUUUUAUGUUCAAAGUCACAGGUUUAUGGUGCCUAAAAAACAAAGUUGGCAACCAAACAUUUAGGUACCAUUCUCUCUUUAAAAAUUCUGUUUUCAAGAUAUUUUAAAAAUUAAUGAUUGUGGGGCACCUAGGUGCCUCAGUCGGUUAAGCAUUUGACUUCCACUCAGGUCAUGAUCUCACACAAGAGAUUGUGAGUUCGAGCCCCACAUCGGGCUCUCUGCUCUCAGUGCGGAUCUUCUGUCUGCCACUCCCCCC